AGUGAACGCUGGCGGUAGGCCUAACACAUGCAAGUCGAACGGCAGCACAGUAAGAGCUUGCUCUUACGGGUGGCGAGUGGCGGACGGGUGAGGAAUACAUCGGAAUCUACUUUUUCGUGGGGGAUAACGUAGGGAAACUUACGCUAAUACCGCAUACGACCUACGGGUGAAAGCAGGGGAUCUUCGGACCUUGCGCGAUUGAAUGAGCCGAUGUCGGAUUAGCUAGUUGGCGGGGUAAAGGCCCACCAAGGCGACGAUCCGUAGCUGGUCUGAGAGGAUGAUCAGCGACAUUGGAGCUGAGACACGGUCAAGACUCCUACGGGAGGCAGCAGUGGGGAAUAUUGGACAAUGGGCGCAAGCCUGAUCCAGCCAUACCGCGUGGGUGAAGAAGGCGUUCGGGUUGUAAAGCCCUUUUGUUGGGAAAGAAAAGCAGCAGGUUAAUACCCCGCUGUUCUGACGGUACCCAAAGAAUAAGCACCGGCUAACUUCGUG
rnacentral:rRNA from 1 species